GAAGGCCUACGGGGCGCAGCAGUGGGGAGUAUUGCACAAUGGGGGAAACCCUGAUGCAGCGACGCCGCGUGAGCGAAGAAGUAUUUCGGUAUGUAAAGCUCUAUCAGCAGGGAAGAAAAAUGACGGUACCUGAGUAAGAAGCACCGGCUAAAUACGUGCCAGCAGCCGCGGUAAUACGUAGGGGGCAAGCGUUAUCCGGAUUUACUGGGUGUAAAGGGAGCGUAGGUGGCAGGGCAAGUCAGAUGUGAAAACCCGGGGCUCAACUCCGGGAGUGCAUUUGAAACUGUCCAGCUAGAGUGCAGGAG
rnacentral:rRNA from 1 species